GCUGCCUUCCCGUUUCCUCCAAGUAUUCGCUAUGAAUUUUGGGCUAUUGGGUUUCUUUCAGGGAGCUUAACUUGUUAAGUUUACUACUAGUUUACUUGGUUUUCAUUUCUUCAUUGCUCUGGAUAUUGUUUUGGGUUUUCUUGUUAAGAAUACCCUUGGUCAGUAAGAUUGAUAAGUUGUUGAAUUUUUCUGUGAUUUGCAUUUCUCUCUUUCGGUCUUUUUCUUUUUCAUUGAUAAGCGUUUGAUUCCUGUUUCUUCGUUUAUGUGCUUCUUCUCCUCCCCAGCA